rnacentral:lncRNA from 1 species
AUGUCCCGGGGCUGGUGCAGGCCUGUCUGGCUGUGGCGUUAGGUUCGGGGACCGAUGUAGGCCUCUCGGGCUGUGGCUGUACCUUCAGGCCUCGGGGCCGGUAUAGGCCUCUUGGGCUGUGGCUUUAUAUUCAAAGCUGGUGCUGGCCUCUUGUGCCGUGGCUGUGGCUUUAGGCCCUUGGCCUGGUUCCAGCCUCUCUGGAUGUGGCUUUAGGCCCCGGGGCCAGUGCUGGCCUUUUGGGCUGUGGCUUUAGGCCCUGGGAUCAAUGGCAGCCUGUGUGGCUGUGGCUGUGGCCUCAGGCCUUGGGGCUGGUGCUGGUUUCUCAGACUGGGGCUGGGGCUUUAGGCCCUGGGGCCGGUGUAGGCCUCUCUGGCUGUGACUUCAGGCCCUGGGGCCGGUGCUGGCCUUGCUGGUUGGGGCUUCAGGUGCCGGCCUCUCUAAGUUUGGCUGUGGCUUUAAGCCCCUGCACUGUUUCAAGCCUUUCAAGCUGUGCCUUUAGUCCCCAGGGCCUUUUUUGGCCUGCCUGGCUGUGGCUUUGGCUUUAAGCCCCAUGGCCGGCGUCAGCCUCUCAGGCUGUGGCUUUAGGGCCUGGGCUCAGUGCUGGCCUCUUUUUUUGUGGCUUUAGACCCCAGAGCUGGUGCCAGUCUCUCAGGCUGUGCCUGUGGCUUCAGGCCCCAGGGUCCGUGCUGGUUUGUCUGGCUGUGGCUGUGGCUUUAGGCCCAAAGCUGG